rnacentral:rRNA from 1 species
GACGAACGCUGGCGGCGUGCUUAACACAUGCAAGUCGAACGGAAAGGCCCUGCUUUUGUGGGGUGCUCGAGUGGCGAACGGGUGAGUAACACGUGAGUAACCUGCCCUUGACUUUGGGAUAACUUCAGGAAACUGGGGCUAAUACCGGAUAGGAGCUCCUGCUGCAUGGUGGGGGUUGGAAAGUUUCGGCGGUUGGGGAUGGACUCGCGGCUUAUCAGCUUGUUGGUGGGGUAGUGGCUUACCAAGGCUUUGACGGGUAGCCGGCCUGAGAGGGUGACCGGCCACAUUGGGACUGAGAUACGGCCCAGACUCCUACGGGAGGCAGCAGUGGGGAAUAUUGCACAAUGGGCGGAAGCCUGAUGCAGCAACGCCGCGUGCGGGAUGACGGCCUUCGGGUUGUAAACCGCUUUCGCCUGUGACGAAGCGUGAGUGACGGUAAUGGGUAAAGAAGCACCGGCUAACUACGG